GGUCACGUGUUUGAUCCCAAUUCUGACAACAGUCAUCAAAUCCAAUUGUUCAUUUUCUAAGGUGUAGUCUUUGUGGAAGGGUCAUAUUUGGCACACCCAAAAUAUCGUGGUGGAAAAGUUGACCGUCUUAAGAAGCAUUGGGAGUGAUAUACUUACAAUCAACAAUCGGUUUUUUAAAUCAUAUGUAGCACACCAACUAAACUUGGAGUGAUGGCAUCCCAUGGAUUAUGGGUGCGUGAUGGCAUCCCAUGGAUUAUGGGUGCGUGGUGGGCGUGGCACCACCACAGAACGCUGCCGCCAACGACCUAUCACACGUGGUGGUGAAGAACUGCAUGGUCAAACUACGCCAAGGUUAGAUAGUGGGAGUGACGAUCGAGGUGCUUGCAAUGGCUAUUUUUUAAUUUUCAACGAUUGUUUGCUUUUUUUUGUUUUUGUUUUUUGUUUUCAUUCAUUCCCUAUAUAUAUUUACACACAAAAUCCAUCAUAUUUUACACAACACAUAUCAUAUCUUACAAACACCUUCAUUCACCUAUACUUCAAAUUUAUACACACACCUUUCCUUCCAUACUUCAAAUCAUGAAAAAAACAGGGCGAUGACCGUUCUUGAUGAAAAAUAAUGGCGAUGCAAAAUCACAUGCUUAACGACGCGUCUGAAGUAAACAAUGUAAUUCAGAGCGUAACAGACAACAAGGCAGCUUACAUAGCCGAAAUCGAAGGAAUUAAAGUUGUAGGUCGAAUUCGUAGCGUCGUCGAAAAUGAGUAUGAUGUAUAUUUUUGACAGAAGAUCGAUUGGCUGAAUCAAUUUUUUUUCCAACUUACCGCCGCCCCUUCCACAUUAACAACCACGGUAGACCACGCGGAAUGCUGGCAAGGCAGUGUCGGUGGGGGUCGGCCUGUAGAUUACCAGACUGACCUGCGGGAGGACUACGCAUCUCCUCAACCCGACGACGCUGUCGGGUCUCCUGAACCCUAUCGAUACAUUUAUCGCAACGACGACGAUAGUAUUGCUGACAUGGACUAUUCCGAUUUGAGUAGUGGGAUGCCAAUAAAAUUUGAGUGAGUGGUGGAGUUGAUGUGACGUAAGAUGAUUGGUUAGAAGUGAGUGAUAAGAUAUGACAUGGAAGUUCGGAUGCCAACACUCUUAGAAGCUAGAAACCUGAUACGAGACCUUUUUGAUGUAUAAACAACAUUCUAUCUUCCAAGUCUGAAUCAUCGAAGAUUUCAAGUUCGAAUCUUUGUAACUUCAAAUGGUCAAGGAGAUAGUUGGAACCGGGCACGGACAAAACUGCAAAAGUACCCUGUUUGACCACUAGAUUUCAGUAAAAAAAAUUUUUGUCAUUCAAUUCUUAGAUUGAAAAUAUAGAUGCAUUUAUUAGAGUUAGCAGCAAAAAGUACUAUAUUCGAGUUUUAGUAACAUUCUGUAAAAAGUAUAAGAGCUAUUUUUCACAAUUAUUUGCUAAAGUGUAGAUGAAACUGAAGUAGGUAAAAACUUGGAUUUAAAGCUGAAACUUAGUUCUAUAUUUUAAGUUUUCUUUCAAUGUAAGUGAUGAAAUACUAAUGUAGAUGAUGUGCUUGUAAGUUUUGUUCUUAUGUAAGUAAUGUAAUCUAAAAGAAUACAAUUUAUGA